UACGUAGGUGGCAAGCGAUACUCGGAAUCACUGGGCGUAAAGCGCUGGUAGGCGGCUCGGUAAGUCUCUUGUGAAAGCUCCCGGCUCAACUGGGAGAGGUCAAGGGAAACUGUUGGGCUAGAGUGUGGUAGAGGAAACUGGAAUUCCCGGUGUAGCGGUGAAAUGCGUAGAUAUCGGGAGGAAUACCUAUGGCGAAAGCAGGUUGCUGGGCCAUCACUGACGCUGAGCUGCGAAGGCGAGGGGAGCAAACAGG
rnacentral:rRNA from 1 species